AUUUGAUACUCUCUAACUCUCACACUCUCUUAGUCUCUCAGACUCACUCACUAGUCCCUAUAAGCACUUCCCCACUCAGCCACACUUGCUUUUCCCGUUUCUCUUUCUCUCUUUCUUUCCUUCUCUCUUUAUUUAUUUUUUUCUAUUGUGGGUGCAGAGAUUAUUAAUGGGAUUUUCUCAAAUGUUGUGUCUUUCUUUAUGAAAUGGUUGUGGUCACUCAAAUCAACCACCAAAACAGCAAUUUCUGGCCGUCCAAUGAUGAAGUUUGAAAGUGAGUAUACUGUGGAGACUGUGUUUGAUGGAAGUAAGCUUGGUAUUGAGCCUUACUCGGCUGAGGUGUUGCCUGGUGGAGAGCUUUUGGUUUUGGACUCUGCUAAUAGUAACCUCUAUAGGAUCUCUGCCUCUCUUUCUCUAUGAUAUGAUAAUUUUUUGCAGAAAGGUGCUGCAAGCUGCUUGUGGCUUGCAUCAAAGCUGGAGGAAAGCCCAAGGAAAGCAAGACAAGUCCUUAAUGCUUUCCACAAAAUAGAAUGUAGGAUGCAGAACUUACCGAUAGAGCAUUUGGAGAUUAAUUCACAGAAAUAUCAUGACCUCAAGACUGACUUGAGCAGAACAGAAAGAUAUAUGUUCAAAGAGAUGGGAUUUGUUUGUCAUGUUGAACAUCCUCAUAAAUUCAUAUCUAACUACCUUGCCAUCCUCAAAACACCUCCAGAACUGAGGCUGGAAGCUUGGAAUCUAGCAAAUGAUAGGCAAGUGCCCAGCCAUUUCUUGUGCUUGGUCUUUUGGUGACUACUUUAGCAACCAGCCAUUGAAUUUUCAAUUGGGGCUUUAUAAAAUGACGCUGUGGAGAGUACUGCUCAACAAGUUCAAGAAUCAAUGCUGCAGAUUUGGGCUUGCAAUAGUAUAGGAUCUUUUUGUGAUGAAUAGGAUCUUUUUGUCUUAUGAUCAUUGAUCUUUAGUUAAGGCAUAUUUGAUGCUAAGCACUGGUCUCUUCAUGUCCAUGAAUGAAAUGCCAACUUUUAAUUUUA